AUGCCCAACCUCAAACUCUUUCUGAUUCUCCCUUCGUGGCCUUGCUUGCAAUCUGCUAUCUCUCACCUUCUUCACCAUCCUCACUCUGCAAUAAAUCUCAUAACCUUCUUCUCAAACCUCCAUAAACACACAUCCCUCUUCCAUAACCGAAUUCCAUCAUCUUCAUCUCCAACACACUUGCAUACGGAGUAUUCACAACAUCACUACCGUAACAAAAAUGCAAUAAUUCAAAAGAAAAGAAGAAGAGUUUUAGAAGGAAAAAGAGAAGAAGAAGCAUAG